GACGAACGCUGGCGGCGUGCCUAAUACAUGCAAGUAGAACGCUGAAGAGAGGAGCUUGCUCUUCUUGGAUGAGUUGCGAACGGGUGAGUAACGCGUAGGUAACCUGCCUGGUAGCGGGGGAUAACUAUUGGAAACGAUAGCUAAUACCGCAUAAAAUUGAUUAUUGCAUGAUAAUUAAUUGAAAGAUGCAACUGCAUCACUACCAGAUGGACCUGCGUUGUAUUAGCUAGUUGGUGAGGUAACGGCUCACCAAGGCGACGAUACAUAGCCGACCUGAGAGGGUGAUCGGCCACACUGGGACUGAGACACGGCCCAGACUCCUACGGGAGGCAGCAGUAGGGAAUCUUCGGCAAUGGGGGGAACCCUGACCGAGCAACGCCGCGUGAGUGAAGAAGGUUGUCGGAUCGUAAAGCUCGGUUGUAAGAGAAGAACGGGUGUGAGAGUGGAAAGUUCACACUGUGACGGUAUCUUACCAGAAAGGGACGGCUAACUACGUG
rnacentral:rRNA from 1 species